CCUACGGGGGGCAGCAGUGGGGAAUAUUGGACAAUGGGGGCAACCCUGAUCCAGCCAUGCCGCGUGUGUGAAGAAGGCCCUCGGGUUGUAAAGCACUUUCAGUGAGGAAGAACGCCUGGUGGUUAAUACCCAUCAGGAAAGACAUCACUCACAGAAGAAGCACCGGCUAACUCCGUGCCAGCAGCCGCGGUAAUACGGAGGGUGCGAGCGUUAAUCGGAAUUACUGGGCGUAAAGCGCGCGUAGGUGGCUUGAUAAGCCGGUUGUGAAAGCCCCGGGCUCAACCUGGGAACGGCAUCCGGAACUGUCAAGCUAGAGAGCAGGAGAGGAAGGUAGAAUUCCCGGUGUAGCGGUGAAAUGCGAAGAGAUCGGGAGGAAUACCAGUGGCGAAGGCGGUCUUCUGGACUGACACUGACACUGAGGUGCGAAAGCGUGGGUAGCAAACAGGAUUAGAUACCCGGGUAGGC
rnacentral:rRNA from 1 species